rnacentral:rRNA from 1 species
GAUGAACGCUGGCGGCGUGCCUAAUACAUGCAAGUCGAGCGAACAGACGAGGAGCUUGCUCCUCUGACGUUAGCGGCGGACGGGUGAGUAACACGUGGAUAACCUACCUAUAAGACUGGGAUAACUUCGGGAAACCGGAGCUAAUACCGGAUAAUAUAUUGAACCGCAUGGUUCAAUAGUGAAAGAUGGUUUUGCUGUCACUUAUAGAUGGAUCCGCGCCGCAUUAGCUAGUUGGUAAGGUAACGGCUUACCAAGGCGACGAUGCGUAGCCGACCUGAGAGGGUGAUCGGCCACACGGGAACUGAGACUCGGUCCAGACUCCUACGGGAGGCAGCAGUAGGGAAUCUUCCGCGAUGGGCGAAAGCCUGACAGAGCAACGCCGCGUGAGUGAUGAAGGUCUUCGGAUCGUAAAACUCUGUUAUUAGGGAAGAACAAAUGUGUAAGUAACUAUGCACGUCUUGACGGUACCUAAUCAGAAAGCCACGGCUAACUACGUG